rnacentral:tRNA from 1 species
GGGCCCGUAGCUCAGCGGUAGAGCAUCUGACUUUUAAUCAGAGGGUCGCUGGUUCGAUUCCAGCCGGGCUCACCA